rnacentral:rRNA from 1 species
UGGGGAAUAUUGGACAAUGGGCGAAAGCCUGAUCCAGCCAUGCCGCGUGAGUGACGAAGGCCUUAGGGUUGUAAAACUCUUUCGUCGGGGACGAUAAUGACGGUACCCGAAGAAGAAGCUCCGGCUAACUUCGUGCCAGCAGCCGCGGUAAUACGAAGGGAGCUAGCGUUGUUCGGAAUCACUGGGCGUAAAGCGCACGUAGGCGGAUAGUUAAGUCAGGGGUGAAAUCCUGGGGCUCAACCCCAGAACUGCCUUUGAUACUGGCUGUCUCGAGGUCGAGAGAGGUUGGUGGAAUUCCUAGUGUAGAGGUGAAAUUCGUAGAUAUUGGGAAGAACACCAGUGGCGAAGGCGGCUAACUGGUCCGGUACUGACGCUGAGGUGCGAAAGCGUGGGGAGCAAACAGGAUUAGAUACCCAAGUAGUCCCUGAGCGGGCUGGCAAGGCGCAU